UGCCUGGAUGAAUGAGCCUCUGUAUUGCCUGGGGUGUGGGAGGAAAAAUAAGGGCACACCCACAGCUGGCUGGCCUGCUCCUGGCAGCUCCAGCUGUGACCUUCACCUUGACUGAGGCAUGGCAACUUUACCCAGCUGUCCGUUUGCUGUGCCCAUCUGAAUCCAGGUGGAGCACGUGGCCAGCAGCCAGGGAAUGUACAGCCAGGGCAAAGAAAGUGAACAGCACCCCUGAACCUCCACGUGGGAAAGGCUCCCACUCUGGCCCCAGCCCCGCAGGCCAGAUGCUGUCCCUUGCCUAGCGAGGCCCUAAGAAAGGGUCUCCUCUAUGGGGGCCCUACCAACCUCAGAAGGCAAGUGUGCCAGUUUGCCAUAAAACAAGACAUCCUUGGGGUUCAGCUUGGAGGGGUGCCAGGGGCAGCAGUGAGGCUAGGUUUGCCCUCGAAACAGUGGCUAAUCUGGGAAGAAAGGCUACAAGAGAACCAGAGCCCAGAGAAGCCUGUGUCGGGCUGUGAGCGUCUCCACUUGUCCCUUCCCAGGUAGCGGAACAACCCAGGCCAGCUCCCAGGUUGCCUGCAUCUCUCCAACUCAGAGGACAUUCUUGGCACUCAGGUUUCUCCACCAUCGAAGUAAGCCAGAUCAAGUCGAAUUGAAAAGGCGUAACGACAGGUUUAUUUGAGCAAAGCAACUCCCCGGCAAGUUCUCCAGUACCAGACACAGACGCUGGAGAAGCCACACCCCUCAAACUAAAGCAGGGAGACUUUAUAGGUUGUAGGUGAGGGAUGAUGACCUGUUCUUCACAAGCUGGGUUUGUGCCCAAGGAUGGUCAAAAGCUGAGCACUUUAGGUGGGGACUUGGGCAACUGGCAACUUCAGGGGAGGAGGAAGCUGUGAUAACCACCAAGAAUGAGAAACUGGGCUUUUUGGCACCUUUCCUUUGUUUGGAGGCUCUCUGAGCAGGUGGGGUUUGGAGAGAGACAGGAAUGGGGCUUUCCGGAUCAUGCAGGGGUGAGCUGGAGGUCCCAACUGAACACACAUAUCUGCAAAUUAACACACUAAAACCAUUGAAUUAUUAGUUGGAAUGGUGUGUGACAUAGUAAUAAAGCUGUUUAAAAUGUUAA